rnacentral:rRNA from 1 species
ACGGUUACCUUGUUACGACUUAGCCCCAGUCACCAGUUUUACCCUAGGGCGCUCCUUGCGGUUACGCACUUCAGGUACCCCCGGCUCCCAUGGCUUGACGGGCGGUGUGUACAAGGCCCGGGAACGUAUUCACCGCGCCGUGGCUGAUGCGCGAUUACUAGCGAAUCCAGCUUCAUGAAGUCGGGUUGCAGACUUCAAUCCGAACUGAGAGAGGUUUUUGGGAUUGGCAUCCACUUGCGUGGUAGCAGCCCUCUGUACCCCCCAUUGUAACACGUGUGUAGCCCCGGACGUAAGGGCCGUGCUGAUUUGACGUCAUCCCCACCUUCCUCACAUCUUACGAUGGCAGUCCCGACAGAGUCCUCAGCAUAACCUGUUAGUAACUAUCGGCAAGGGUUGCGCUCGUUAUGGCACUUAAGCCGACACCUCACGGCACGAGCUGACGACAACCAUGCAGCACCUUCACAACCGCUAUUGCUAGCUAUGGCGUUUCCGCCAUAUUCGGUUGCAAUUUAAGCCCGGGUAAGGUUCCUCGCGUAUCAUCGAAUUAAACCACAUGUUCCU